rnacentral:rRNA from 1 species
ACACGUGGGCAACCUGCCUGUAAGUUGGGGAUAACUCCGGGAAACCGGGGCUAAUACCGAAUGAUAAGAUGUGGCGCAUGCCACGCCUUUGAAAGAUGGUUUCGGCUAUCGCUUACAGAUGGGCCCGCGGUGCAUUAGCUAGUUGGUAGGGUAAUGGCCUACCAAGGCAACGAUGCAUAGCCGACCUGAGAGGGUGAUCGGCCACACUGGGACUGANACACGGCCCANACUCCUACGGGAGGCAGCAGUAGGGAAUCUUCCGCAAUGGACGAAAGUCUGACGGAGCAACGCCGCGUGUAUGAAGAANGUUUNCGGAUCGUAAAGUACUGUUGUUA